AGCGCUUGGGUGCCCGCCGUUUGUGGCGGGUGAAAAGGGAAGCCGGUGAAAUUCCGGCGCGAUACCGUCACUGUGUGUGGGAGCUGUCCUUCAGGGCUCACUGGCCGCCUGGCCGGGAAGAGGAAGGACGGCAAUGAACUAAGCCAGGAGACCUGCCCAUGC
rnacentral:ncRNA from 1 species